ACCUGUGGGGAGGCUGCUGGCUUGGGCUUGGACCUGUGAAGUUGUCGGAGGUGGCUGUGCUCUCUGGGCACUUGGCUGAAAUGUGAUGCCAUUGGUUCUCAGUCAAGGUUCCUCUCUGCAGGGCUGGGAACACAGAUCAGCUGCUCCCGGGUGUACACAACCGGGAAGCAGAUCCACCCGCUGCGAGCAGCCUUUUUAACCCCGAGACUUUUUCCAAGAGCUCCUGUGCACGCAGGAAGUUUCCUUCCCUGGCGUCACAUGUAGCCCUGAGCUGCCGUCUUCAGAUCCGAGCUGGGCUCCCUGCAGCACAGGAGAGCGGCUUCUUUGAGACAUUUGUCCUUGAAACUGCACCAAACUCUGGGGAGAGCCUAGAACGCAGGUUGCACAGUACAGUGUGAAUGUCAGCUCUGCUUCUCAGAGGCGGAAUGGAGAGCAAAGGAGAAAUGACCUUGAACUCAAAAGCUUCGGUCCUGCCCACUUUCCGUGUACCUGGAGAGUAAUCCCUGCCAUAACAUCAUCUUUGAGAGAAGCUUGCCAGUGUGAGACCCGUGUGACAUUCCUCCACCAAAGCAACUCACACCAGUAAGGGAGAAGGCGCAUGGCUGAAUCUUCAUUCAAAUAUGGGUGAUUUUCCCUCCUGCUGAUGAAUAAAGCUACAUAGUCAGGUGUAUAGCAGAAGGUGAAAUGAAUGUGCAUUCUCUCGUCUGAGCUUUAUUUUCUGAAUAUCAGGCAAAUGAGACCCCAGUAUAGCUGUGAGUAUUAGGAUGAAUGUCCUAGCCUGACUUAAUUCUAAGAGUAUGACCAAGACAUUAUGUCUUUUGGUAAUGGCUCUGAAUCUUCAACUUGGUCUGGCGUAGUCAUCGUUUGACUGUACAUCCCAGAUAGAAAGUCCAUGCAAGCUAUUGCUAAUGACUCAAAACUACUGCUUGUUACCAGCAGCUCGGUGCCAUUUAGGGGUCACCUUUUUACCUGAAACCAUCAUGAGCCAACAGCAGUCACCAGUACUUUUAGAAUCUCAGACUAUUUGUUCUCCUACGUAGCACACAUACAUUCAGUGGAAGGAUGCAGGCUUAUUAGCAAAGGGGUCUUUCUGGUACCUCAGUGUUUGUACGCUAGAGGUUCGCUCUCUAUUUCCUGUGUUAUUUAAUAAUCAGUUUAAUUUUAGUCAAGUUUCACUUUACUACUCCUAGAAAUUGGAGAAAAAUAUUGCCUACGUUCACUUGCUGUGUCACACAGACACAACACCCAGCAAAGGUAAAAGAUAAAGGAUCAAUUCUUAUGGAUUGCAUA
rnacentral:lncRNA from 1 species